AAUAAACCAAUCCUUCACUUUUUAGCUACAAUGUUUAAAGCUUCGUCUUAUUCAAAAAAAAUUUACGAUUAAUAUUUUUGUUUUUAUUAAAUGAUAAUUCAUGAAUAGUAUUUUAUGUGUGACUAAUUUUUUUUCAAUUUCUUAAAAUUUUUUCAAAUAAGACGGAUGGUCAAACGCUGAACACAAAUGGUCAAAAGUUUGGCUUAUU
rnacentral:pre_miRNA from 1 species